UAAUUUACUAAAAUUAAAAAUUCCAAAAACUAAAGAGACUCCUCUCUGUUUUUCCAAAACAAACUCAUCGAUCUGCCCUAGUCUCAAAACACAAUAGCGCGCAGCUCCUCUGCCUCUAUCAAUCUCUCAAAAAAUUUGUUUUCUCAAAGCAAAGGUUACGAAUUUGUUGAUUUGUGAAUCGAAGUCCUGCCCUAGUUUUCAAACACCGUUUGCGAAUCCAGGUAUGCCUCCUCUUCUGAGUUGCUCCUUUUCUUUUUUUUUUCAACCUAGCUCUUCUGAGUCACUCGUUUGGAAUUCCCUUUACUGCUUUGAUAUAUUUGACUUCUUCUUCUUCUUCUUCUCUAACAUUAAAUUGGUAAAAGGUUUCAUAAUUUUGUUCUAAGUUUUUACUGCAUAUGUUGAAGUAUUCAAGAAUGAGAUCCAUAAAUUUGCAAACUUUUGAGCAAAUACACUUACUAAGUAGUGGUGUGUAUUCGAUGAUAGUGGAAGAGCGAUGUUGAAAUAUAUAUGAGCUUAUUAGCUCUCUGCUUUCGUAGUUCCAAUUCUUACCUUCCAGCUAUUUCUUGAUAUGUGCUUGUGAUAAUGAAAUCUGUUGAAUUCAUUGCUACCGAAUCAGCUGUGAAUUGGCAAGAGAAGUGGUAUUUUGUAUCGAGUUCUUUCAAUUUGAUGUCAGAGUUUCAUAUUUUGUCUUUUUCAUAACAUGAGCAAUAGUUCAGAGAAAUUCACGAUCUCACACCAAUUACUAACAAACAGUAUUUUUAGUCGCAACCGAUAUUUUUUAUGAUCUUGUGUCGCAAAUUAUAUUAUUUGCAUUUUGUGUUUAAGUACUUACUUCGAUCUCGGGGAAGGCCAGAAGGAACCAUGUAUACAUGUUUCAGGAACUACCAUCUUAAUUACAAGUUGAUUUAUAAUCUUUUAUUUAUCUUAGUGCCAUUUGAUUGCACAUUACAAAACAUUAACUGGAAAAAAGAGCCUAAUCACCUAUUGCGACCUUAGAGUUCAACACAAUUGUGUGCAUCUAAUCGUUAUAAGUUGUAUUCAUCUUAGUAUUUUCCUUGUCAUUUAUCUUUUUUUAAUCUAAUUUUUAUCUACUCUCGAAGGUUAUGGCACCUAGUAAGCAAUGGAUGUAACUUGUUGACAAUCGGCUUGAUGAAGCCUACUUAAUCGUGUAAUGAUAUUAAACAAUAUAUGUCCUUUGGGAGUAUCAUCGUGGAAUGAUAUUAAGCAAGAAAAGUUGAAUCACAUGUGGGCAGCUAUUGAGGUAACAAAUGUAGUUAAGAGUAUGCCUGUGCAUUUUAAGCGUGAUGAAAUUGGAAAGUAUAUUACUGUGAAAUGUGGCUAUGUUGUGAUAAAUGUCAAAUUGUUAAUUUAGUUGAUUAGUUAUGUUUGUUGAAGGUAUUUUGUUAUAUCAGUCAAUUAUAUGUGUGAGUCUAACUGCACUUUUACACAUGAAAUUACUACUGCAUAUGCCAUUGUUCUGAACCGGAGUAAAAUGAGCCUCAGGAUAUGAUUUGUCUACUGCAUAUGCCAUUGUUCCCUUCUUGCUGCUAGAAUUGUUUGGUCAAUUUGUAGUUUAUCAUCUGGCGGAACAUAUGCUUACAAGUUUCGUGGGGCCACUUAUUAUUUGUGGGGAGCAUCUCCAAUAGACCUCCAAAUUCAGUGGCUAGAACAACUUAAAUGUGGGUCAAAGCCAUUUAACAUUUACUUCCUUCUAGUUGCAAUGUCCUGCAUUCUGUCCUAUAAGCAAGCAAUUUUUGGUAGAUGGACGGAAAAUUAAAUAAACCAAACAAUUAGUUACUAUUCACCCAAUAGAAGAUAUUGUAUUCUCUGAUAUGAUGAACAUUAUGUUACUAAAUGUUAUAUAUUCGAAGUAAUAUUAAGUUGAAGAGACUUGCCUUUUCCAAUACUGUGGAAGUAGAGAAGUUUUUUUCCUAAAUGGUUUUAUAUCAACCAUGAGAUGAUUGUAUUUGGAAAUUAAGAAAAACAACUUUGCAGUAGUGACAACCUUAAAUUUUAGUGCUAAAUUAACCUUAUUUGAUAUUCUGAUUUUUUUUUCCAGAUUUCCGAGUAGAAAAAGAAAUUAGAUGCCAUAAUCUCAUUCUAAAGUCGAUGUUUUAUUAUUUCUUCGUGGUGACUAUGUAAGCAUUGCUAGGACAACUUAAGGAAAAAUAUCAAGUUCUUUUUUAGUUUCAAAUAUUUCUAGGAGGCAGAGAAAAUUAUCAAAUUCUCUAUAAUAAUAAUAAUAAAAAAAAGUUAUCAAAUUCUUUAGAUAUCCUAUAAAUUUACUAAGUAGCUGGUGAAACUCUAAGAAAAAGUUCCUCAAGUGUAAUAUGUAUAUGUUAUCUCCAGAAACUGAUGAAGUACUAAAACUUUUUCUAAUUCUUUUGGAUCCUUUUUCUUGUCCUUUAUUUGGGGACUUUCUUGAGUUUUAUUUUAUCAAUUAGGGAUAGGUUAGGACAUGGUGCAGAAAAUGAUUGAUAAACUGUUGUAUCAUGUGGCGGAAUUUUAAGGAAUUGGAAUAUAAGAACUACUCAGAUCACUUUUACUAUGUCUUCUUUCUUGCUAUGGUAAUGAAUGUCAUUGAACAUCUAUUGGAAGUGUACAAACUUUCUUUUAUUUAUCUGUUUAGGUACAUCUAUCUUUUACUGCAACUAAGUAUCAUAAACUUAAAGCAGUAAUGUUAAAAUAUCCUCAAGAAGUGGGCAUGCCUGCAUCAAUGUUUUUAUUUUUUGUAGCAAUGGUCUCGGGACCAGCUUGUGCACUUGCACACAACACUGCUAUUCUAGCGAGCAUCAUUCUCGCCAUCUUCCUGUUCAAUGACCAAGGCAUCCAAAGAAUUAGUACACCUAAUAUUUGUUGCUGAAAAUUCCUGUUUUUUAUGAUCUGUAGCAGCUCUUUUGCUAGGUGAUACAACUGACCAAACCUUAGCCACAUUCUUUAAUCCACCAGCAUUCCCAGUAGCUUCACAAUUACUCCUGGAUAUUUGUAGUACUUCACGAUCAUCUCCCUUGUCAUGAAAUCCAGUAUCACCUUUAAUAUUUGCACCUUUAGUAGCACAAUCAGUAGCACCAAACCUAGAAGCAACACGAUCCGCAUGUGCAUUCAAACGAGUUGCUUGAAUACCAGCAGUAGCCUGAUUCUCAAACAAAUUUGUAGGCAGCUUAGCAUCCUUGAUCCCUGCCUUAUCACUUGUAGCAACUGUAACAUUCACUCCUGUUCCAUUCACAGCACUAGCAGUCUCCAAACUUGCAUUCACAACCUGUGAAACACCAUCCAUAGGCUGCACAAUCUUGUUUGAAGUAGCAGCUCGAUCAGUAGCAACAUUCAAAGAACCAGUAGUAGCUGUAUAAUAGAUCCUUUGCAUCUCCUUGUAAAUUUUCCACCUUGUUCAUGUCAGCAGUAGGUAAUAAUAGAUCAUUAUCACCAUUCCUUCCGACCAAACAUUCAUGUUGAUCUUUGCUUUGUCCAUAAUAGAUCAUUAUCACUAUCUCAGCAGUAGUGUUCUGAUCUUUCUCCUUAUAUUUGUAAUUGUUCUUAGAUUUAAUUAGUCAACAUGUUAUCAUUGAUUUAUGUAAAUGGAGUUCGACUCUCUUAGUUCCUGACAAGUAUAAAUUUACUCCCACAGCUUGUGUUUCAAGUAUACAUUCUAAGGCUUGUUCCUUGAGUGGAGUGGUGACUAUGACUCUGAAUCUGACAGAUAUGUUGGAUAAUUUGUGAAUGAUAAGAGAGAAAAAAAGGACUAUGUAUAGACACUGGUCAAUCUGACCGAAGUUUGAUUUUAUCGUUCCAAAUUUUUUCUAAUUAAUUUUCUAUAUUCCUGUAGCCUUGUUGAUAUUGCUGGAAAACACAUGAUGAAUUUUGACUCCUUUUGGGGUAAGCGGCUUAACUAUUACUAUUGUAAAUUAACAUAUACAUUGUUUUACCAAUAGUUAUUCAUCGUCUUUUCAAAAUUUUAUAUUUACAGGUUUUGAAGAUUGAAGCUACAAGUCAAGAUGCAAGUUUGGAAGAUACACAAACUCAUUAUUAUUUUGCUAAGAAUGUUUUGUAAAACUUGAUAUCAUAGUCUGGCUCAGGAUGUUAGUUAAGUUUUUUGUUAAGGUGUCGAGCAAAUAUUAAAACUAAUAUCACGGGAU
rnacentral:lncRNA from 1 species